rnacentral:rRNA from 1 species
CGGUAUGGGAGCGUACACAGGUGGCUGCAUGGCUGUCGUCAGCUCGUGUCGUGAGAUGUUGGGUUAAGUCCCGCAACGAGCGCAACCCUGCAUCCAGUUGCCAUCGGGCGAGCCGGGCACUCUGGAGGGACUGCCGGCGACAAGCCGGAGGAAGGUGGGGAUGACGUCAAGUCAUCACGGCCCUUAUGUCCAGGGCGACACACGUGCUACAAUGGCCGGCACAGCGGGAAGCGGAGGGGCGACCCUGAGCGGAUCCCUUGAAAGCCGGUCCCAGUUCGGAUUGCAGUCUGCAACUCGACUGCAUGAAGUUGGAGUUGCUAGUAAUCGCGAAUCAGAAUGUCGCGGUGAAUGCGUUCCCGGGCCUU